CACGUAGGGUGCGAGCGUUGUCCGGAAUUAUUGGGCGUAAAGAGCUCGUAGGCGGUCUGUCGCGUCGAUCGUGAAAACUUGGGGCUUAACCCUGAGCUUGCGGUCGAUACGGGCAUGACUGGAGUUCGGCAGGGGAGACUGGAAUUCCUGGUGUAGCGGUGAAAUGCGCAGAUAUCAGGAGGAACACCGGUGGCGAAGGCGGUUCUCUGGGCAUGUCCUGACGCUGAGGAGCGAAAGUGUGGGGAGCGAACAGG
rnacentral:rRNA from 1 species